GACGAACGCUGGCGGCGUGCCUAAUACAUGCAAGUUGAGCGCUGAAGGUUGGUACUUGUACCGACUGGAUGAGCAGCGAACGGGUGAGUAACGCGUGGGGAAUCUGCCUUUGAGCGGGGGACAACAUUUGGAAACGAAUGCUAAUACCGCAUAAAAACUUUAAACACAAGUUUUAAGUUUGAAAGAUGCAAUUGCAUCACUCAAAGAUGAUCCCGCGUUGUAUUAGCUAGUUGGUGAGGUAAAGGCUCACCAAGGCGAUGAUACAUAGCCGACCUGAGAGGGUGAUCGGCCAAAUUGGGAAUGAGACACGGCCCAAACUCCUACGGGAGGCAGCAGUAGGGAAUCUUAGGCAAUGGACGAAAGUCUGACCGAGCAACGCCGCGGGAGUGAAGAAGGUUUUCGGAUCGUAAAACUCUGUUGGUAGAGAAGAAAGUUGGUGAGAGUGGAAAGCUCAUAAAGUGACGGUAACUAACCAGAAAGGGACGGCUAACUACGUG
rnacentral:rRNA from 1 species